CGGCGAACGGGUGAGGAAUACAUCGGAACGUGUCCGUAGUGGGGGAUAGCCCGGCGAAAGCCGGAUUAAUACCGCAUAUGCUCUACGGAGGAAAGCCGGGGAUCUCGUAAGGGACCUGGCGCUAUGGGGGCGGCCGAUGUCCGAUUAGCUAGUUGGUGGGGUAAAGGCCUACCAAGGCGACGAUCGGUAGCUGGUCUGAGAGGAUGAUCAGCCACAGUGGGACUGAGACACGGCCCAGACUCCUACGGGAGGCAGCAGUGGGGAAUUUUGGACAAUGGGGGCAACCCUGAUCCAGCCAUGCCGCGUGCGGGAAGAAGGCCUUCGGGUUGUAAACCGCUUUUAGCCGGGAAGAAGAGGCAGCGACUAAUACUCGCUGUUCUUGACGGUACCGGCGGAAUAAGCACCGGCUAACUACGUGCCAGCAGCCGCGGUAAUACGUAGGGUGCGAGCGUUAAUCGGAAUUACUGGGCGUAAAGCGUGCGCAGGCGGUUUGUUAAGUUCGUCGUGAAAG
rnacentral:rRNA from 1 species